GACGAACGCUGGCGGCGUGCCUAAUACAUGCAAGUAGGACGCAGUUGCGAACGUGUGAGUAAAGCGUCGGUAACUACCUAUUAGAGGGGGAUAACUAUUGGAAACGAUAGCCAAUACCGCAUACUAGUCGAUGGACCUGCGUUGUAUUUGCUAGUCGGUUGGGUAAUGGCAUACCUAGGCAACGAUACAUCGCCGACCUGAGAGGGUGAACGGCCAAACUGGGACUGAGACACGGCCCAGACUCCUACGGGAGGCAGCAGUAGGGAAUCUUCGGCAAUGGAGGGAAGCCUGACCGAGCAACGCCGCGUGAGUGAUGAAGGGUUUCGGAUCGUAAAGCUCUGUUGUUAAGGAAGCGGUACUUAACCAGAAAGGGACGGCUAACUACGUGCCAGCAGCCGCGGUAAUAC
rnacentral:rRNA from 1 species